AUUGAACGCUGGCGGCAGGCCUAACACAUGCCAGUCGAGCGGAUGAAGGGAGCUUGCUCCUGGAUUCAGCGGCGGACGGGUGAGUAAUGCCUAGGAAUCUGCCUGGUAGUGGGGGAUAACGUCCGGAAACGGGCGCUAAUACCGCAUACGUCCUGAGGGAGAAAGUGGGGGAUCUUCGGACCUCACGCUAUCAGAUGAGCCUAGGUCGGAUUAGCUAGUUGGUGGGGUAAAGGCCUACCAAGGCGACGAUCCGUAACUGGUCUGAGAGGAUGAUCAGUCACAAUGGAAAUGAGAAAAGGUUCAGACUCCUAAGGGAGGCAGCAGUGGGGAAUUUUGGACAAUGGGCGGAAGCCUGAUCCAGGCAUGGCGCGUGGGUGAAGAAGGUCUUCCGAUUGUAAAAGCCUUUUAGUUGGGAGGAAGGGCAGUAAGUUAAUACCUUGCUGUUUUGACGUUACCAACAGAAUAAGCACCGGCUAACUUCGUG
rnacentral:rRNA from 1 species